UGGAUCACCUCCUAACAGGGAGACUAACUGAUUGUGAUGUCUGAGCGCUGAACAAAGAAGCCACAAGUAAUUGUAGUGACUGGAAGCAGCACAUUUUGUCUCAGGCCACGAUCCUGUCAUCUCGAAGGUCGAUCGGUACCUCAAGAGAGAGGUUGGAAAGCUGAGCAUCGCGAGAUGAUCAGGUUGUCCAGCUUAACUUUUCAGUUCCUAAACUUUGUCUAGGUCACCCCACAGAGCCCAUCUGGGCCAUUAGCUCAGGUGGUUAGAGCGCACCCCUGAUAAGGGUGAGGUCCCUGGUUCAAGUCCAGGAUGGCCCAUUCACCGCCUGCAACGCAGGCAGGACUUGAUGGCUGGGGGUUUAGCUCAGUUGGUAGAGCGCCUGCUUUGCAAGCAGGAUGUCAGCGGUUCGAGUCCGCUAACCUCCAUCCAACAGACGCUCACCAGCGAAGGGAAAUCUUUGUGGGAGACCAAAUUGCCGGAAGUUAGCAGCCGGCCUAGCGGAGCAAAGACUCCAGCCUCCUUUCAUGCCCAAGCAGCCACGCUGUUGGUAAAGGGUUGAAAGGAAGCUGGACUCGUCAAGGCUAACCAGUGCGCAAGCGGUGGUUGGCGUUGAGAUGUUCAGCCAAGAACCUUGACAACUGCAUAGGUAAGUCUGGAAAUUAAGCAUCUCAUGGAUACUUGAUUCUAAAAGUCAACGUUUGCGAGCAGCGAAAGCUGAGCGUGAUGGUUUGGUGGAUGGAAUCAAGAAAAUUCUUGAGUUUAGAGCCGAGAGCUUCCAGCAGCUUCUUUUGCCGCCGAGGCGAAAGGAGUUUGAUGGUGUGAUUGAACCACUCCAGUAUGAGUGCUGUAGCGGGAGACCGAGACAGUUACCAAGAAUGGGGCAGGCAAUUGCGGCAGAAUAGCCUUCAACAAGCUGACUGCUGGGAGAUUUAAUGGUCAAGCUACAAAGGGCUCACGGCGGAUACCUUGGCACACAGAGGCGAUGAAGG
rnacentral:tRNA from 1 species